rnacentral:rRNA from 1 species
UAGCCGUAAACGAUACUCGCUAGGUGUCGGCCACGGUGCGACCGUUGUCGGUGCCGUAGGGAAGCCGUGAAGCGAGCCACCUGGGAAGUACGGCCGCAAGGCUGAAACUUAAAGGAAUUGGCGGGGGGAGCACAACAACGGGUGGAGCUUGCGGUUUAAUUGGAUUCAACGCCGGAAAUCUUACCGGGACCGACAGCAACAUGAAGGCCAAGCUGAAGACUUUGCCGGAUUAGCUGAGAGGAGGUGCAUGGCGUAGUCGUGU